rnacentral:rRNA from 1 species
GACGAACCGUGCGACCGUUGUUCGGAAUCACUGGGCUUAAAGGGCGCGUAGGCGGCCGGGUUGGUCGUGGGUGAAAUCCCCCAGCUCAACUGGGGAACUGCCUACGAUACUGCCUGGCUCGAGGGAGGAAGGGGCGGUCGGAACUGUCGGUGGAGCGGUGAAAUGCGUUGAUAUCGACAGGAACGCCGGUGGCGAAAGCGGACCGCUGGCCCUCUUCUGACGCUGAGGCGCGAAAGCCAGGGGAGCGAACGGG